CGUACAUUAAAUUAAAACUAAAAAACAUAAGCUUCAACCUAGAUCUGGUGACCGUCGCCGUUGUCCUCGUCGGUGAGGUCAAUGAAGACCGGAGGCGACCAUGGAUAAGGCCACGGUACUGCCGCUGGCGCAUGCGGUGGCGCAGCGGGCGCCACCUGCUGCUGGUGCUGCACCUUUUGCACCUGCUCCGCCUCCUGCUGCUGCGGACCUCCAGGUCCGCGCCCACCCACUUGGGCGUGCACGGGACCGUGGACGUCCACGACCACGACUGCCCCAGCAGUGGCCACGGCUCCUGCCCCGCCUCCUCCUGCUCAGCCUCUGGUUCGGGAGCGGGCAGGGGCGGGGGCGUGGUGACCUGUACUCCGGUGGAUUCGGCCAGCGCCAGUGACAAGCCAGGCCACAAGGCGAGUUCGUCGAGCUCGAGGGCCUUCAUGUAGGCCUCAUCGGUCUCCUACUCCUGCUCGGCCGCCUUCUCCUCCUUAACCACCAACGAUGACGGGGGACUGGGAGCACGCACAUGAGCAGCGAGGAAAGACCGGUGGCGAUGGUCGUGCUCGUUGACGAACCAGGCGUCCCAGAAUGGCGAGUCAACAGCGUACGCCGGGUCGUGACGGAGGUCGUCAGGGAGCUGAGCUCGGCGGCAGCGGCGGAUCUCGGCCUCGCGCGCAUGGUCGGACUUUGGAACGGCCGGCACUGGAACUCUCUCUGGGUUCAGAUGCCACAUGCCAGCCGUUCGACAAGUGGACGCCGGGCCAUGGCAUGGGGAUGGCCCGCUCCUAGUACUGUUGGCACUGCUCGACAGGGCGGAUACCGAGCGGAUGGGUGGCGUGUCCCUCUGCUGUCCGUGUGGAUGCAAACCGGUCCAAAUUUGGGGCGGAUUUGUGAUUUCUGCCCAUGCGGACCCAAACGGACGAAAUGCGUCCUUCCAUUGGAGUUGCUAGUCUUCUCUUUGGGAGAGCAUUCAAAUAUUUCUCAACACUUCUCUUUGAUACUGCAAUGUUUCUAAACUGUUUCACAAUAUUUUAGCCUUUUCGCGCUGAUUGCAGCAUGUCAUCUCUUCGUUUACACUCACUUGACCUGUGUUGUUUUAUCUUUGUUACAAACUGGCAGUAUCUAAAAUCUAAUCUUCUAUUGUUGGGGCGAUGUGUUCAGGAAGGAAUGCCUGGUUCAGUGCGGCUGAGAGACAACAAGAUCCUUCAGAGAAUUAUGGUUAGACAAGCUGAAGAGAAAAGAUUAUAUGGUGCUAUAUGUGCUGCACCAGCUGUUGUUCUCAUGCCCUGGGGUCUUCACAAGGGAAGAAAGAUCACCUGUCACCCGUCGUUCAUAGGAGAUCUUCCAACAUUCCGAGCUGUUGAGUCAAAUGUUCAGGUUUCAGGAGAGCUCACUACUAGUCGUGGUCCUGGGACAGUAUUUCAGUUCGCUUUAUCAUUUGUCGAGCAAUUGUUUGGGCCUCAUUCUGUUGAAGAUGUGGACAGUACUUUGGUUUGUCAAAAUAAACCUUGCAUAUCUUUAUUUUGUAUCAUGCCUUUUAGCCGACUAGACUAUUUCUUGUAAAUUUAGUUGUUCAUGUAUUGUUAAACUUUUAUGAAUAGUGUACUAGUGUACCUGCAGUUCUGAUUGUUGUUUUUAUUCUAGGAAGUGUAUUUUAUCUUUCAGUUGCUUAUGCUAGCAAAAACAAUUUAAGGAAGAAUACUAGGAAGUUUUUAGAUUAUGUUGGUUUGCUAUAACUUUAUGAGGUACAAUUUCUUUCUUGCAUUGUAACACCUGCUGACCACUCUGCCGUUGUUGUAAAUUGCCCAUGGAUAUCACAGAUUGAUGCCGGUCUUGAGAGAAGUACAGAAGUCAACAGAGUUGAGUGGCCUUUUGAUCACAAACCUCAGGGUAACAAGGCUUGCUUGACAAAUGGAUGCCUAAAGCAUUUCUCGUAAAAAUAAUGGGAUUGGGCGACACCAGAGUGAAUACUUGCACUUUCUUUUGUUUGUUAUUUACAGCGAUGCUUGCCUAAAGGUUCUCAUUCCAAUUGCAAAUGGGUCUGAGGAGAUGGAGAUCAUAAUGUUGGUGGAUAUUUUAAGACGGGCAAAUAUAAAUGUGGUGUUGGCAUCAGUUGACAAGUCCACAAAUAUUGUUGGGUCUCAAAGAAUGAAGAUUGUUGCUGAUAAAUGCAUAUUGGGUGCUUCUGAUUCAAAAUAUGAUCUAAUCAUUAUUCCUGGGGGACCUGGUGGAGCUGAGCGUCUUCACAGGUCUACAACUCUUAAGAAGCUACUCAAGGAACAGAAGCAAGCAAGCAGGAUGUAUGGUGGGAUCUGUUAUUCUCCAUUGAUAUUGCAGAAGCAAGGUUUACUCCAGGAUAAAACAGUGACUGCUCAUCCUUCCAUAGUCAAUCAGCUCACUUGCCAGGUUAUUGACCGAUCAAAGGUCGUGAUUGAUGGAAAUUUGAUUACUGGGAAGGGACUCGGAACAGUCAUGGAUUUUUCCCUGGCCAUUGUAAGAAAAUUCUUUGGCCAUGGGCGAGCGAAAGGUGUGGCAAAUGGAAUGGUUUUUGACUACCCAAAGAGCUGAAACACCUAGCAUUUCUGCUACUACGGAGUAUGCGCUGAAUGUUUGGUUAUGCUAUAUGGAUCUUGCUAUAGCUAUGCUCAAAAUUUGAGGUGACUGCCUCUUGCGGUGGUGGCAAAAUUUUCUUCUGUUGCCGCCUUACUGGAUAUCUGCAGACUGCAGUGAAAUGUCCACUAAACAUGUUGGGAUGAACCACAACUGCAUUGGGAAAAUCCAGUUGGGGUCAGUUCAUCUCGAGAUGUUCUGCACCGAUGCGGCAUCAUGACCCUCCAGGGCCGCGGGCAGGACCUCCUCAGCGGGCGGCUCCAAGUAUGGCAGCAGCAUCAUGCGUGAGUGGGCGGUGGACCCGUCGCGGGACAGCAUGCGACAACAUAUAGGAACUAUGUGAACUUGACAAGUUUAUUUCCAACUUCUGGGCAAUCUGCCUGCGUACGCUUUCCUGAAUAUCGAGGUGCAUGACCUGCAAACAUGACGAUACAGCAAGCAAAUUAUAAUUUUGCUUCGUGAC